GGCUCAAUGGUCUAGUGGUAUGAUUCGCCCUUCGGGUCUUCCAACCCUUGCGCACAGCGUGAAAAUGGGCGAGGUCUCGGGUUCGAUCCCCGAUUGAGCCC
rnacentral:tRNA from 1 species